UACAGAGACUGCAAGCGUUAUUCGGAUUCACUGGGCGUAAAGGGUGCGCAGGCGGCCAAGUGUGUUAGGCGUGAAAGCCUGAGGCUUAACCUCAGAAUUGCACCUAAAACUACAUGGCUAGAGCAUUGGAGAGGGUAGCGGAAUUCACGGUGUAGCAGUGAAAUGCGUAGAUAUCGUGAGGAAGACCAGUGGCGAAGGCGAAUCUCUGGACAGUUCCUGACGCUGAGGCACGAAGGCCAGGGGAGCAAACGGG
rnacentral:rRNA from 1 species